UACUGAGGGGGCAAGCGUUAUUCGGAAUUAUUGGGCGUAAAGGGCGCGUAGGCGGCUAGAUGUGUCAAAGGUGAGAUCCCUCGGCUCAACUGAGGAACUGCCUUUGAAACUGUCUGGCUUGAGGCCGGGAGAGGGUAGCGGAAUUCCCAGUGUAGCGGUGAAAUGCGUAGAUAUUGGGAGGAACACCAGUGGCGAAGGCGGCUACCUGGACCGGUUCUGACGCUGAGGCGCGAAAGCGUGGGUAGCAAACAGG
rnacentral:rRNA from 1 species